AAGUCGUAACAAGGUCUCCGUAGGUGAACCUGCGGAGGGAUCAUUAACACGAAUUUGAAAACACGAAAGUGUCUCAAAUUUUUCCACACACCGUGAACUCGUUUGUCGACUUUUCUGAAAAGAAAGGAAAACAGACCUAACAUAACUAUCUCCUGGGUAAGAAGGCCGAUGCGACGCAGUGGACUGCACUUGUGAGUUGUUCUCUUCGGAGUUUCACUCUCAAGUCCGGUAGCUCCGCUUUUAUCCCUUGACGUAGUUCCCUUUUUGGGAGAUGUUACACUCAGACAUCUCGUCCCUUGUUUGCCAUUUUUUUUCACCAUACACCAAUGUACUGAUUUAGUUGAAGGUGAAUCGAAAGAUUUUCUCUUCUUCCAAUAUAUUCUAUAAAACUAAGCACAACUCUUAGCAACGGAUAUCUUGGUUCUC
rnacentral:misc_RNA from 1 species